rnacentral:rRNA from 1 species
GAUGAACGCUGGCGGCGUGCCUAAUACAUGCAAGUCGAGCGAACAGACGAGGAGCUUGCUCCUCUGACGUUAGCGGCGGACGGGUGAGUAACACGUGGAUAACCUACCUAUAAGACUGGGAUAAUUUCGGGAAACCGGAGCUAAUACCGGAUAACAUGUUGAGCCGCAUGGUUCAACAGUGAAAGACGGUCUUGCUGUCACUUAUAGAUGGAUCCGCGCCGCAUUAGCUAGUUGGUAAGGUAACGGCUUACCAAGGCAACGAUGCGUAGCCGACCUGAGAGGGUGAUCGGCCACACUGGAACUGAGACACGGUCCAGACUCCUACGGGAGGCAGCAGUAGGGAAUCUUCCGCAAUGGGCGAAAGCCUGACGGAGCAACGCCGCGUGAGUGAAGAAGGUCUUCGGAUCGUAAAGCUCUGUUAUUAGGGAAGAACAAAUGUGUAAGUAACUAUGCACGUCUUGACGGUACCUAAACAGAAAGCCACGGCUAACUACGUG